UUAAGUUAUUAAGGGCGCACGGUGGAUGCCUUGGCACUAGAAGCCGAUGAAGGACGUUACUAACGACGAUAUGCUUUGGGGAGCUGUAAGUAAGCUUUGAUCCAGAGAUUUCCGAAUGGGGAAACCCAGCAUGAGUUAUGUCAUGUUAUCGAUAUGUGAAUACAUAGCAUAUCAGAAGGCACACCCGGAGAACUGAAACAUCUUAGUACCCGGAGGAAGAGAAAGAAAAUUCGAUUCCCUUAGUAGCGGCGAGCGAAACGGGAAGAGCCCAAACCAACAAGCUUGCUUGUUGGGGUUGUAGGACACUCUGUACGGAGUUACAAAGGACGACAUUAGACGAAUCAUCUGGAAAGAUGAAUCAAAGAAGGUAAUAAUCCUGUAGUCGAAAAUGUUGUCUCUCUUGAGUGGAUCCUGAGUACGACGGAGCACGUGAAAUUCCGUCGGAAUCUGGGAGGACCAUCUCCUAAGGCUAAAUACUCUCUAGUGACCGAUAGUGAACCAGUACCGUGAGGGAAAGGUGAAAAGCACCCCGGAAGGGGAGUGAAAUAGAACCUGAAACCGUGUGCUUACAAGUAGUCAGAGCCCGUUAAUGGGUGAUGGCGUGCCUUUUGUAGAAUGAACCGGCGAGUUACGAUUUGAUGCAAGGUUAAGCAGUAAAUGUGGAGCCGUAGCGAAAGCGAGUCUGAAUAGGGCGUUUAGUAUUUGGUCGUAGACCCGAAACCAGGUGAUCUACCCUUGGUCAGGUUGAAGUUCAGGUAACACUGAAUGGAGGACCGAACCGACUUACGUUGAAAAGUGAGCGGAUGAACUGAGGGUAGCGGAGAAAUUCCAAUCGAACCUGGAGAUAGCUGGUUCUCUCCGAAAUAGCUUUAGGGCUAGCCUCAAGUGAUGAUUAUUGGAGGUAGAGCACUGUUUGGACGAGGGGCCCCUCUCGGGUUACCGAAUUCAGACAAACUCCGAAUGCCAAUUAAUUUAACUUGGGAGUCAGAACAUGGGUGAUAAGGUCCGUGUUCGAAAGGGAAACAGCCCAGACCACCAGCUAAGGUCCCAAAAUAUAUGUUAAGUGGAAAAGGAUGUGGCGUUGCCCAGACAACUAGGAUGUUGGCUUAGAAGCAGCCAUCAUUUAAAGAGUGCGUAAUAGCUCACUAGUCGAGUGACACUGCGCCGAAAAUGUACCGGGGCUAAACAUAUUACCGAAGCUGUGGAUUGUCCUUUGGACAAUGGUAGGAGAGCGUUCUAAGGGCGUUGAAGCAUGAUCGUAAGGACAUGUGGAGCGCUUAGAAGUGAGAAUGCCGGUGUGAGUAGCGAAAGACGGGUGAGAAUCCCGUCCACCGAUUGACUAAGGUUUCCAGAGGAAGGCUCGUCCGCUCUGGGUUAGUCGGGUCCUAAGCUGAGGCCGACAGGCGUAGGCGAUGGAUAACAGGUUGAUAUUCCUGUACCACCUAUAAUCGUUUUAAUCGAUGGGGGGACGCAGUAGGAUAGGCGAAGCGUGCGAUUGGAUUGCACGUCUAAGCAGUAAGGCUGAGUAUUAGGCAAAUCCGGUACUCGUUAAGGCUGAGCUGUGAUGGGGAGAAGACAUUGUGUCUUCGAGUCGUUGAUUUCGCACUGCCGAGAAAAGCCUCUAGAUAGAAAAUAGGUGCCCGUACCGCAAACCGACACAGGUAGUCAAGAUGAGAAUUCUAAGGUGAGCGAGCGAACUCUCGUUAAGGAACUCGGCAAAAUGACCCCGUAACUUCGGGAGAAGGGGUGCUCUUUAGGGUUAACGCCCAGAAGAGCCGCAGUGAAUAGGCCCAAGCGACUGUUUAUCAAAAACACAGGUCUCUGCUAAACCGUAAGGUGAUGUAUAGGGGCUGACGCCUGCCCGGUGCUGGAAGGUUAAGAGGAGUGGUUAGCUUCUGCGAAGCUACGAAUCGAAGCCCCAGUAAACGGCGGCCGUAACUAUAACGGUCCUAAGGUAGCGAAAUUCCUUGUCGGGUAAGUUCCGACCCGCACGAAAGGCGUAACGAUUUGGGCACUGUCUCAACGAGAGACUCGGUGAAAUCAUAGUACCUGUGAAGAUGCAGGUUACCCGCGACAGGACGGAAAGACCCCGUGGAGCUUUACUGUAGCCUGAUAUUGAAAUUCGGCACAGCUUGUACAGGAUAGGUAGGAGCCUUUGAAACGUGAGCGCUAGCUUACGUGGAGGCGCUGGUGGGAUACUACCCUAGCUGUGUUGGCUUUCUAACCCGCACCACUUAUCGUGGUGGGAGACAGUGUCAGGCGGGCAGUUUGACUGGGGCGGUCGCCUCCUAAAAGGUAACGGAGGCGCUCAAAGGUUCCCUCAGAAUGGUUGGAAAUCAUUCAUAGAGUGUAAAGGCAUAAGGGAGCUUGACUGCGAGACCUACAAGUCGAGCAGGGUCGAAAGACGGACUUAGUGAUCCGGUGGUUCCGCAUGGAAGGGCCAUCGCUCAACGGAUAAAAGCUACCCCGGGGAUAACAGGCUUAUCUCCCCCAAGAGUUCACAUCGACGGGGAGGUUUGGCACCUCGAUGUCGGCUCAUCGCAUCCUGGGGCUGUAGUCGGUCCCAAGGGUUGGGCUGUUCGCCCAUUAAAGCGGUACGCGAGCUGGGUUCAGAACGUCGUGAGACAGUUCGGUCCCUAUCCGUCGUGGGCGUAGGAAAUUUGAGAGGAGCUGUCCUUAGUACGAGAGGACCGGGAUGGACAUACCUCUGGUGUACCAGUUGUCGUGCCAACGGCAUAGCUGGGUAGCUAUGUGUGGACGGGAUAAGUGCUGAAAGCAUCUAAGCAUGAAGCCCCCCUCAAGAUGAGAUUUCCCAACUUCGGUUAUAAGAUCCCUCAAAGAUGAUGAGGUUAAUAGGUUCGAGGUGGAAGCAUGGUGACAUGUGGAGCUGACGAAUACUAAUCGAUCGAAGACUUAAUCAA
rnacentral:rRNA from 1 species